rnacentral:rRNA from 1 species
GAUGAACGCUGGCGGCAUGCCUAAUACAUGCAAGUCGAGCGGAAGGACGGGAAGCUUGUGCCUCUGCGGUUAGCGGCGGACGGGUGGGUAACGCGUGGAUAAGCUACCUCUAAGUCGGGGAUAACAUCGGGAAACAAAUGCUAAUACCACAUAAUAUUUUUAACCGCAUGGUUCAAGAGUGAAAGACGCUCUUGCUGCCCCUAAGAGAUGAAUCCGUGUUGCAUAGGCUAGUUGGUAAGGUAACGGCCAACCAAGGAAACGUUGCAUGGCCGACCGGAGAGGGUGAUCGGCCACACUGGAACUGAGACACGGUCCAGACUCCUACGGGAGGCAGCAGUGGGGAAUAUUGCACAAUGGGCGAAAGCCUGACGCAGCAAUGCCGCGUGAGUGAUGAAGGUCUUCGGAUCUUAAAACCCUUUUAUUGGGAAAGAACAUAUGUAGAAUUAACCGCGCAUAUCCUGACGGUACCUAAUCAGAAAGCAACGGCUAACUACGUG